ensembl:lncRNA
AUUACAUUAUUCAAGUAAGCUCCAAGCCACUUCCCAUGUUGUAAUCUGAAAAAAAAAGGAGGCAGCAAACCAGUGUAACUUACCCGGCCUCGUCUUGACUAAGCCUGAGGUACAUCACCAUCCCCUCCAUUAUGACGUAAAACAUAAAAACAAAAAUGAACAAUUUUGGGGUCACAAUUAGGAAAUCCUGCGAAGGUGGAGCCUCCUUCACUUCAAGGGCCUUGGGAGGGCCCUUCGUGCACUUCGGAGGCCUGGUCUUCGAAGUCCGUACACUCAACUUUGGGACACAGGUGAAGGGACAGCUUACGCCGUGAAGCAAUCGCGCUUCAAAUCCACACUUCGGAGUCUGCACACUUCAGUUUGGGACAGCCUUCGGCGCGCCGUUGUGACGCAAUCGCACUUCAAAUGCACAAUCCGGAGACCAAGCACUUCAGUUUGGGACACAGCUUACAUACUGCAGAUGAUGAAUCAAGUAAGUAUAUCUUGAUAGAAGCUUUCUUUAUUCUUAAUUUAAUCUUGCCAUUUGUGCGGCUUUCACCAUAACGCUGCAGUUCUUGCUAUAUGAACUCGGGAGGUGAAUUAAUAGCAUAAAUUAUCUCUGACUGCAUUCUGAUAUCGGAAUGUGAUCGUGUCUGUGGACCAAAAAAAUUGGCUGCUGAAAAUACAAUAUUUUAUUUUAACUUAACGAUUUAAUAUUAAAUUUAAAGCUACUGAUCAACAUUCAGAGAUCCAAUCUUGUAAUAUUUAAUGUACAUAAUAGAUAUUAUAACCACAAAUAAUAUUCAAUAUAUCAGCCACCUCUAGAAAUAAUGCUGUUUUUUUCUGCAUUUGAAGAGCUUGAGAAGCUUGUAAGGCAAAAUGGGAUUUUUUAUUUUAUUUUUUAUUUAAAUUGUAAAAUCAAUUUUGGGAUAUUUAUCUGUUUUUUGGUAAUUUAUAAAUGUAUGUUUUAUUCCCUGUAAAGUAGGAAUAAUAAAUGUAAAAAUGUCAUCUAUUUUUAAAGCCCA